rnacentral:rRNA from 1 species
GACGAACGCUGGCGGCGUGCUUAACACAUGCAAGUCGAACGGUAAGGCCUUUCGGGGUACACGAGUGGCGAACGGGUGAGUAACACGUGGGUGAUCUGCCCUGCACUUCGGGAUAAGCCCGGGAAACUGGGUCUAAUACCGGAUAGGACUGCGCGGUGCAUGCCGUGUGGUGGAAAGAUUUAUCGGUGCAGGAUGGGCCCGCGGCCUAUCAGCUUGUUGGUGGGGUAAUGGCCUACCAAGGCGACGACGGGUAGCCGGCCUGAGAGGGCGACCGGCCACACUGGGACUGAGCCACGGCCCAGACUCCUACGGGAGGCAGCAGUGGGGAAUAUUGCACAAUGGGCGCAAGCCUGAUGCAGCGACGCCGCGUGAGGGAUGACGGCCUUCGGGUUGUAAACCUCUUUCAGCAGGGACGAAGCGUGAGUGACGGUACCUGCAGAAGAAGCACCGGCCAACUACGUG